GUGACCAGAACAUGUUGGGAAGCAUGGCCAUAGCGGGUGACAGCCCCGUAUGGGAAGCUUUGAAGGACGUAUCAAGUAGGGCGGGACACGUGAAAUCCUGUCUGAAGAUCGGAGGACCACCUUCGAAGGCUAAGUACUCCUUACUGACCGAUAGCGAACCAGUACCGUGAGGGAAAGGUGAAAAGAACGCCGAG
rnacentral:rRNA from 1 species